UAUAAUUGAAUUUCCCAGCAUGUGGUAGCCAAAGUUGUAAUUACUUUCAGGACCUAUGAGCACUGGAGCCUCCAUCUGUGAUGGCUGGUGGUGUUGCAGAGCUGCAUCUGCUGCAGGUGCUGAGGACAGAAGCAGUUUUGUGGAUUGAGCUUUGUAGUUCUCUGCUAAAAAAAUUACUGAUGUUAACCUGCUGGACUGUAGCCUUAUAUGUUUUGAGGAAUGCACUGUUGACCUUGUUCCUUGAAGAAUGAUGCUGAAGAUUAAGGCAAAGAUGGCAAUUAUUCUAACACUGUCUGGGGCCACCUGGUGAAGUCUUUGCUCCAAGAUAUAUCUGGUACUGUCUUUGUGUAAGUAAAGGAGGAGGAAAAAAAGUGUAUAUGGAAGUAAAAUUUUACCAAACCAGGUUUCCUGUGCAGUACUAUGAAGUAAUAUGACAAAUGACUUCCAGCACUCUUUUCUAGGUCAGCAGUUUCAGAAGUCUUUCCAAAACACUUUGGUUAUGGUAGCUGUACACCUUUUUGUCCGCUGUUUCAAAAGUUCCUGCCUAUCAACACAACUGUUUCCCUGUGUAAAGCUGCCAGGCUGGUUUCAUUCUGCCUGUUGAGCUCACUUAUUUCAUCUUAUGAAGCCAGAUGUUUCUGGGAGAAGCUCUGAAUUUUUGUGGUUUAUGUAACUCUCUUUCAAAUUUCAUAAGCAAGAUGAAUACAUUUGGACUGAAAAAAUAGUAGGAAUAUCAGACUGGGGCACUUUCUU